GAUGAACGCUGGCGGCGUGCCUAACACAUGCAAGUCGAGCGAUUCUCUUCGGAGAAGAGCGGCGGACGGGUGAGUAACGCGUGGGUAACCUGCCCUGUACACACGGAUAACAUACCGAAAGGUAUGCUAAUACGAGAUAAUAUACUUUUAUCGCAUGGUAGAAGUAUCAAAGCUUUUGCGGUACAGGAUGGACCCGCGUCUGAUUAGCUAGUUGGUAAGGUAACGGCUUACCAAGGCGACGAUCAGUAGCCGACCUGAGAGGGUGAUCGGCCACAUUGGAACUGAGACACGGUCCAAACUCCUACGGGAGGCAGCAGUGGGAAUAUUGCACAAUGGGCGAAAGCCUGAUGCAGCAACGCCGCGUGAGCGAUGAAGGCCUUCGGUCGUAAAGCUCUGUCCUCAAGGAAGAUAAUGACGGUACUUGAGGAGGAAGCCCCGGC
rnacentral:rRNA from 1 species